rnacentral:rRNA from 1 species
GAUGAACGCUGGCGACGUGCCUAACACAUGCAAGUCGAGCGGAAAUAUCGGACGUACUUGUACGGAAGAUAUUUUAGCGGCGGACGGGUGAGUAACACGUGAGUAACCUGCCUUCGGCAGUGGAAUAACAUUGUGAAAACAGUGCUAAUACCGCAUAACGUCAUAGACCGGCAUCGGUUGAUGACCAAAGGAGAAAUCCGGCAGAAGAUGGACUCGCGUCCGAUUAGCUAGUUGGCGGGGUAAAGGCCCACCAAGGCGACGAUCGGUAGCCGAACUGAGAGGUUGAUCGGCCACAUUGGGACUGAGACACGGCCCAGACUCCUACGGGAGGCAGCAGUGGGGAAUAUUGGGCAAUGGGGGAAACCCUGACCCAGCAACGCCGCGUGAAGGACGAAGGCCUUCGGGUUGUAAACUUCUUUGAUCAGGGACGAAACAAAUGACGGUACCUGAAGAACAAGCCACGGCUAACUACGUGCCAGCCGCCGCCGUAACAC